rnacentral:lncRNA from 1 species
UUCUGUUGCUCUGUAGAAUGACAUCUGGAUUCUGCUCAUAUCCUUCAUGUAGGGCUUUCCACAGAAGUCUUCGGAAGUCGUAUUGUACGAAUUGUCUGCCGCCCUCCCUUCACUCCUCCUUCCCAGAGAUGAUGAAGAAACUGAGAAGCAGGGAGUAGGAGUGAGCUGUUCAGUAUCACAGGGCUGCUGAGGAACAGAACCAGGAGGAGAGCUAAAGCCUGAGAUGGAGGCGCACAGAUGCACAGCCCCUGGGGACAGAGAAGAUCUGGCAUAGAAAAAUGGGGACAUGAAGGAACUCCUGGCUGGAGAAAAGCAAAAGGCUGCAGCAAUAUCAAGGAACAGAUGAUCCCAAACCAGUCAGAGAAAUUGAUUCUGAAGAGAACAGAGACAAAUCCAGGGUCACGGGUCUACACCAUAGCUCUUGGACAACUAGCAUUUCUGUAUCACCUGAAGGUUGGUUGAUAGAUGAACUAGGCAAUGAAAGUACAGGACAGAAGAGAACUAUCCAAGAGAACAAAGACAAAGGUGCUGAG